UGCAAACAACCCUUCCGCAUCAAGAGAGAUAAACAGAGCCCUUUCGCACCAAGAGAGAUAAACAGAGCCCUUCCGCAUCAUUCAGAAAAAUCGGAAGACUGAGCAAUGGCAACGUUCUCUCAUUCAACUCUCUUAUGCUUCACAUUCAGAAGCCACAAACACUUCUAUUGACCUUGUUCUUUUCAUCUCUGAUUCUACUCUCUUAUUCUUCAAAAUCGGAAGCCAUACUCAUUUGACCUAGUUAUCGAAACCUUAAACUUGGAGAAGGUGAGGGGGAAACUGCUACAAUUGAAGCGGGUUAUCACUAUGUGCUAGAAUGGAUAAUUUGCUUGCCUGAAUUUUGAAGUACUUGUGUUGAAGUUAAGAAUCAGUGUGUUCUCUGUUGGAAGAAGUUGGAUUGGUUCUGUGGUUGCAUUGGAUCAUCUUUCUCAAAGGACUGAUAUUGACGCAUCUAGAAUAGUUGUAUUUGGACGAUCACUUGGUAGUGCAGUUGGAGCUGUACUAACAAAAAAUAACCCUGACAAGGUACCCCUUGGACCUUGGUAAACUAUAUAAUGUUUAAUGUUCAUGUUGUUCUUCGUAAAAAUCUAAUGAUCUUGGAUUUUAGUUGUCACCAUGGACAAUUGCUUGCUAGAUUUCAGUUGCCUGAAGAUAAAUGUUUCCUUGGAAUGUUAGUACUAUAUGUAAUUAUAGUUUGCUAGGUUCACAAGGCAUACAGCAAGACCAUAUAUAUAGCUGCAAAUUAGUUUGCUAAAGUUUCUUUUCCUGUUGAUAGAUUCAUAACUCAUUUCAUGAUUUUCAACAUUAUGUGAGAAAGGAAUAUUCAAUUAAUGUGGAUGCAUUUGUGGGGAAACUAUAUCAACUGAGGAAAAACAACGUAGUUUUUAACUAAUUAAAAUUAUUUUUGAUAAUUAGGAUCAGGAUUAGUUUAUUUUCUGAAUUUUGUUUAUGUUUUUUUGUCUCGAUAAGAUUCUAAGUUACAGAAUCCUUAUCUGUUCUGGUUUUUUUAAUUUUUUUAUAGUUAUGAUCCAAUCAAUUAGGAUCCCUUUCUUAUAUGUAGCCUUAUAAAAGGACAGACUUCUAUCGGGGGAAUGAACGAAGAAACUAUUAGUCUAGGAGGGGCUCUGUUGUCCAGAGUCUGUUACUAACUUUUACUGUAGGUCGCAAGUAGGAGUCUUCUAUAUCUAGGCUAGUGACUUGGUCCUACGUGGAAGUCUACAAGUUAACAUGAUUUUAGGUUCCAAUUGCAAAGUAUUUGACAUGAGUUUCACUUUGAAGUAUGAGAAUAUAGUGUGCAGUUUUUAAGGCCUUGGGUUCUCAAAAUACAACAGCUAGCUUCUGUGACAUGGUUUUCCCAUUUGGUAUCAAUCAGACUGGUCAUCUGUGCGUUAUAACACUGUUAUAGUGGCGUCACAUAGUGAUGUGGCCAUGGGCUGCUCUGUGGAAGCCCAUCAUGUCACAGGCCAUUGUUGUGCCUGAGUGUGAAUCAAAGCUGCUGUUGCAUCAGAGACAAAAACCCUUCUCUUUUGGCCACUAACAAUGUUGUUUGGUGCUCUUUAAUGGGUGGGAGGAGAUCUAAUAAUUUUUUAACCAAAAUCAUGCAUCUUCAAUUUUUUAAGAAUUUUCAUU